rfam:Serratia sp. M24T3 contig05, whole genome shotgun sequence.
UUGUAAUUUCAACCUCAUGAUUUAUAUGUAGGCUUUUUUAUAAAGCUUACAUCCCAAAGAAUUGCUGUGUGUAGUCUUUGCCUGUCUUUUAAGACGGGCCUUUUUUUUC